UUGGCAGGGAUUCACAAUUAAAAAGACUGCCUUGAUACAGAGAUUAGCAUGGCCCCUGAGCAAGGAAAACUCACAGGUUUGUGGAACGUUCCAUACUUUG
rnacentral:snRNA from 1 species